GGAGAGGUGCCUGAGAGGCCGAAAGGGGCGGUCUCGAAAACCGUUGUCCCCUUGCGGGGACCGUGGGUUCGAAUCCCACCCUCUCCG
rnacentral:tRNA from 1 species